GACGAACGCUGGCGGCGUGCUUAACACAUGCAAGUCGAGCGGAAAGGCCCUUCGGGGUACUCGAGCGGCGAACGGGUGAGUAACACGUGAGUAACCUGCCCUUGGCUCUGGGAUAGCUCCGGGAAACCGGAAUUAAUACCGGAUAUGACCUCGGCCGACAUCGGCUGUGGUGGAAAGAUUUAUCGGCCAGGGAUGGGCUCGCGGCCUAUCAGCUAGUUGGCGGUGUAAUAGACCACCAAGGCAAAGACGGGUAUGGGGGCGUGAGAGCGUGCCCCCACUCACUGGGACUGAGACACUGCCCAGACACCUACGGGUGGCUGCAGUCGAGAAUCUUCGGCAAUGGGCGGCAAGCCUCGACCGAGCGACGCCGCGU
rnacentral:rRNA from 1 species